rnacentral:rRNA from 1 species
UGGGGAAUCUUGCGCAAUGGCCGCAAGGCUGACGCAGCGACGCCGCGUGUGGGAUGAAGCCCUUCGGGGUGUAAACCACUGUUGCCCGGGACGAACGGCGGGAUUUAUCCCGCGUGACGGUACCGGGUGAGGAAGCACCGGCUAACUCCGUGCCAGCAGCCGCGGUAAUACGGAGGGUGCGAGCGUUGUCCGGAAUCACUGGGCGUAAAGGGCGCGUAGGCGGCUCGUGCAAGCGGGCGGUGAAAGCCCGGGGCUCAACCCCGGGUCAGCCGAACGGACUGCGGAGCUGGACCAGACUAGAGGCUCGUGGAAUUCCGGGUGUAGCGGUGGAAUGCGUAGAGAUCCGGAAGAACACCGGUGGCGAAGGCGGCGAGCUGGGGUCUGUGUGACGCUGAUGCGCGACAGCGUGGGGAGCAAACAGGAUUAGAUACCCCCGUAGUCC